GACGAACGCUGGCGGCGUGCCUAAUACAUGCAAGUAGAACGCUGAAGGAGGAGCUUGCUCUUCUGGAUGAGUUGCGAACGGGUGAGUAACGCGUAGGUAACCUGCCUGGUAGCGGGGGAUAACUAUUGGAAACGAUAGCUAAUACCGCAUAAUAGCAGUUGUUGCAUGACAACUGUUUGAAUGGUGCAAUUGCACCACUACCAGAUGGACCUGCGUUGUAUUAGCUAGUUGGUGGGGUAACGGCUCACCAAGGCGACGAUACAUAGCCGACCUGAGAGGGUGAUCGGCCACACUGGGACUGAGACACGGCCCAGACUCCUACGGGAGGCAGCAGUAGGGAAUCUUCGGCAAUGGACGGAAGUCUGACCGAGCAACGCCUCGUGAGUGAAGAAGGUUUUCGGAUCGUAAAGCUCUGUUGUAAGAGAAGAACGAGUGUGAGAGUGGAAAGUUCACACUGUGACGGUAUCUUACCAGAAAGGGACGGCUAACUACGUGCCAGCAGCCGCGGUAAUACGUAGGUCCCGAGCGUUGUCCGGAUUUAUUGGGCGUAAAGCGAGCGCAGGCGGUUAGAUAAGUCUGAAGUUAAAGGCUGUGGCUUAACCAUAGUACGCUUUGGAAACUGUUUAACUUGAGUGCAAGAUGGGAGAGUGGAAUUCCAUGUGUAGCGGUGAAAUGCGUAGAUAUAUGGAGGAACACCGGUGGCGAAAGCGGCUCUCUGGGCUUGUAACUGACGCUGAGGCUCGAAAGCGUGGGAGCAAACAUG
rnacentral:rRNA from 1 species